UACGAAGGGGGCUAGCGUUGCUCGGAAUCACUGGGCGUAAAGCGCACGUAGGCGGACGCUUAAGUCAGGGGUGAAAUCCCGGGGCUCAACCCCGGAACUGCCUUUGAUACUGGGUGUCUGGAGGUCGAGAGAGGUGAGUGGAAUUCCGAGUGUAGAGGUGAAAUUCGUAGAUAUUCGGAGGAACACCAGUGGCGAAGGCGGCUCACUGGCUCGAUACUGACGCUGAGGUGCGAAAGCGUGGGGAGCAAACAGG
rnacentral:rRNA from 1 species